AUUUUUUUUUUUUUUUUUUUGUGAGAGAAUGACUCUACUGUAAUUGUCUAAAUUGUUUAUAAGCCUUUUCAGGAAUAUUGGUACUUAAUGUAAUUUUGUUUAAAUUACUGUGUUGGAAGGAAGAGCAAACUGGAAUAUGAGUUAUCCCGAGAACCUGCAUUUUAAUUCCUCCUGGUGAUGUCAACUGUCUGACUUCUGUAUACUAAUACAUUUUACCAUAAAUACAUAUUAUGGGUGAGAUAAAAAUGCUUUUUGCUGUGUGUUUAUUAGGUUUUUUUGUAUUCUUAAAAUAAAUGUCAUGUUUGAUGGUGAUAUAGUGGAUGGAGUGUUGCUGGCAGGGGUGUUCGGGUUAUCUUGACACAUUCACAAUCAAAAACAUACUACGCUUGAGUGCACUGGCUUAAGGAUGUGUUUGUGAAAGAGGAAUGUGUACAUUGUGGUUCCUUUCAUUCCGCCUAAAAGCAUGUGCAAACAGUGAUUGUUCUGUCUCUGAAGAAAAUGUCUCUAUUAAUACACAUUUUUAGCAUUAUUUUACACUGUAAUAUAACAGUGUGCAUAUGGAAUCUUGAACUGAUACUGGUUUAUAAGGGCACUGAGUUGGGGGGGGGUGUUGUUGCUUUUUUAAGAAGAGCAAAAUCUCCAUGAUUUUCACUUCUGACCUGCGGGGAGCAGAUAUCUCUGGGACUUGGAGAAAUGGGAGAAAUUGGAUAAACAUGCUCUGAAUAUUUCUAUUUGUUUGGGGGUUUUUCUCAUGUCAGUAAAAGAGCAGAUAGCUCAAAUAAAUCAAUCUACUUUGGAUCCCUAAUUUAACUUAGUUUUAACAUUCUAAGAUUUAUGAUUGUUGAAAUAGUUGCAUUCCUGCUAUUUUUAUCUCCUCACUAGAGACAUUGGGCACUUCGGAGAACUGGGUGACAGAAAUUGUUUCACAGAUGCCAAAUAAUUCAGUUAUCCCAGCCAGCAACAUCCACCUGUUGGACAUUAUUUGGACACUGACCCCACAAGAGAAAAACUGCAGGAUCCUGUGGAGAUACAGGGCUGGUUUGGAUACCCAGUCCUAUUCCAGCACCAGCCUGUGUGGUCUUUGCCCCAUGUCUUUGGGCCAUGUUACAGAUCUCUGGUGGUACCUACAGAAGCUCCUGUGUUGGGGUUAGGAAGGAUCUGCACUGUUUUCCCCUCUGGUGGCACAAACCUCUGAUUUAGGAAGAACAAAAGAGCUUAAAAUGCUUUGCCCAAUCACUUGGCAUCCUGCACUGGAAUAAGAAAGGUCAGGCAAUAACUUUGGUUCAAAAAGAAGACUUCAGUAGAAUGGAUUUAGUUUAUUUAAUAGCUAAGAAAAGGUCAUGUCUUUUGUUCUUUUAUUCUCACAUAAAUUGAUUUUGUAAAGUUGAAGUUGGUUUAUCACCGUUUGUGUUCUGUGGCUUUGUUAUUUCAGCACUGGAGAAAAGGUCAUCUUCUUGCUGGGUAUCUGAUAUUCCAUGGUCCAUUAAAACUGCAUUAUUUCUGCUGUAACUGAAGUUCUUUUCCUUUUCUUGCAUUUUUUUUCCUCUCUUAUUUUUUCCCCCUGACUUCACCUGUCCCAAGACAACUCAGCUCAACUGGGUAGUUUGUCCUGCAGUGUACUAUAGAUUUUUCUCAUGUUUUGUUCACUAUUCAAGAGCUUGAAGAGAUUCCCUCUCUGGUAACUUAGGGGAGUGAAUUGCAUUCUGUCUCAAAAUGAAGUGUCAGUAGAAGACAGUGACUGAGGUUUUUUGCAUGGAAUAAGAAAGAAAAAUGAAAAUAUUUAAAAAUAUAGAGGUCUGAUGUGAAAUUUAUAUUGUGACUCUUCUACUAAGGAAAUAGUAAUUUCUUUACAGCCAGCUCCUCACUGGCCUGUUUGCCUGACUUCAGUUUUGCUCCAACUGUCUCUGAGAUGAUUAAAGAGGAACUGAAAAAGGUUUACCUCAAUGUGCUCAUCAACUCAGAGGUGUUAAGCCAAGUGAGUGUCAGUGGGGAAAGGCUUAAUUUUAGGGUAGUGGCAGAAAAGAAAGCAAUCACCUUUGUGUUCCUGUGUUGCCACAGUAGCAUAAAGAAGUGGCUGGAGGAGUUGCCUUUCUUUUUAUCAGAAAUUACCAUGCACUUCUUUGCAUGAUCUUGUUGAAUAUAGUGACUGCCAGCACAAUAAUUAUAUGUGGGCACAAUUUUCAAACUGCCAAAAAUUUUUGCUUUAUACUAAGUACCAGCACUAAUGAUCAGGUGCCAAAGGCUGACAGGAAUUCACAUCUAAAAAGUUACCCUCUGUAUUUUUUCCUUCUAGUUGCUUGAGUUUCUUGUCAGUAACACCUGUGUGUCUGCACUUGGAGGUUAAAAUUCCUUGUUCACAGAUUAUCAAAUCUGAAUAAGUGUCAGCUGAGGCCAUUGCCCUCCCAGAGUUCCAGCCCAGCUGCCCUUUGGUUCUUUCCUAUUCCCAUUGCUCUCAGUCACUCACGUUUCGUGCACUUUCCUUAUCAGUUCCUCUCACCCUCUCUGGAAGCAAGCUUUAUUUAUGCUUUUAUCACCAUUUACACUUCAAAAAUGUUGGUGGAGAAGAAGAGGCUGCUGCAGAGGUGGGGUUAAGCAGACAAAAGUAGAUAUUGCAUAAGAUUAGAGUCAACCAGCCAAGUUUCUGCUUAAUUUGGAAAGGAUAGCUAACUGGGAUCAGAGCUCCCCUGGAGCCCAAAGGAGCAAGAGAUGCUCUCUCAAGUCUCAAAAUGAUAGUAAAUAAUGCUUUAUGAAUCUGAUCUGACAACUUUUUGGAUAUUCUUUGGAUCUGAUGACCAGUAUUCUGAUGGCACUGUGUGUUGAUUUUUCUCAAAGCACAAAAGUCAAUCAAAAUAAUGUAUGGCAGUAGGCUCCUGAUCUGCAGGAGCAGCUGGAGGUUAUUCCUCCUUGGCCUUGUUCUUAUUAUGAAGGCAGAAUACGCUCUAAGAGGGAGAUAUUAAAUCAAAGCUCAGUGUGUUCUGUAGCCCUCAUAGCAUUAAUAGCUACUGACACUGCAAAUUAUGUUGUCUUCAUUAGGGUUUUUGCCUUGAAGCCACUCACUGAAAUUAAAAGGCUUCUGUACCUGCACAUGAGAAGGCACUGCUGCAGUAUUUAGCAUUAAAUGGAGCCUUUUGUAGCCUGCCUGUGUAGGUCACACAAUGGCACUCGGGUUCCUCAGGAAAGAGGGAGAUAACUGCAUCCCAGAAAUCCACAGGUACACGUGCUGAUGUGAGUUAUGAUGUUGGGCCAGGACGUGAGCAGGGGUUUGAUGCUUUGCCGUUUGAGCUCCUCAGAAAGCUCCACUUCCCUGCCCUGUCUGGUGUCUGGGUGGUGAAUUUGCCAAAUACACCUCUGCCCUGUGAGGUGAGAACAACAGAUGCCGUCUCUGAUGUGACAGCACCUUGUCAGGGCAGGGACUAGAGAUGUGCAGUGGUUGGUGUUACCCGCAACACUUGGCUCCACAGGCACAUUUAAGGCACAGUCAGUGCAGAGCUGGGCUGUGGAGGGACAGUGAACUGAGUGACGGGGACUUUGUAAGCACAGCUCUGUGCACAAGACUUACUAAACUCUGAUGAAAGUACAGUUUAUAUUGUUGUGUGCAUGAUUAUUUUGGAUAUGUAUUUCUGGCUUUUUCAUUUGCCAGCCACUGCAGUCUUGGUUUUGUCACCUCAUCUUUCCUGCCAGUUGAAGCUUUUUCCCCCCUUCAAUUAACUGAACCCACCCAUGCAGUGGAUCCCAAAUGAAACCAUUUACUUUCUACUUUGAAGGCACAGUGGAGAACCAGAAAUUCUGAAUGAUAGCUGACUGAGCAUUUAAUGUUGAAGUCUAUCCAGGCUGGAUUUGUUUGUUUGCUUUGGGCUGGGGCGAAGCAUUUAGGAGAAUGUGUUCUUAUGGGAUUCCUUGCUUGCUGAGUUGUGCUCAUUCCUAACAAAUCUGGAGUGCCUCUUACCAUGUGUAUAGCCUGCAUUUACAUACUGUUCAGUGCUUGGUACUUCAAAAAAUCAAUGGUUAAUAUUAAGACAUGAUGACACGUAUACUUGUUACAUUUUUAUUAUAAACUGUAAGUGCCUGUGAAAGUUAAUCUCCUAUCUUACCCUACUGCAGAGACCUAGAUUUACCUGUGCUCAUUUCUUUCUAAAUUAAUGAGAACAGGGGGAUCUGGGGGAAGUUUAGUGGGUUUAGUCCCUCCUUCCUUGGUGUG